rnacentral:snoRNA from 1 species
UCCCUCUCAGGGUCACACCUGGAGAGUUUCCAGUACUCUACCAGUCUCGACUAUGGGAGGGAGAGUCAAGCCGAGACAUAUCCAUUCCAUUCCUAGCUUGGGGAGUGGCUAGCGAGUGGAGGACAAUCUGCUACAAGU